CUACGGGACGCUGCAGUGGGGAAUAUUGGACAAUGGGCGAAAGCCUGAUCCAGCAAUGCCGCGUGUGCGAUGAAGGCCUGAGGGUUGUAAAGCACUUUCGUUGGGAAAGAAAUGCUCAAAGCUAAUACCUUUGAGAGUUGACGUUACCCAAAGAAGAAGCACCGGCUAACUCUGUGCCGGCAGCCGCGGUAAUACAGAGGGUGCAAGCGUUAAUCGGAGUUACUGGGCGUAAAGGGCGCGUAGGCGGAUACUUGAGUCGGAUGUGAAAUCCCUGGGCUCAACCUAGGAACUGCGUUCGAUACUAAGUGCCUAGAGUAUGGUAGAGGAAAGUGGAAUUCCCGGUGUAGUGGUAAAAUACGUAGAUAUCGGGAGGAACAUCAGUGGCGAAGGCGACUUUCUGGGCCAAUACUGACGCUGAGGCGCGAAAGCGUGGGGAGCAAACAGGAUUAGAUACCCGAGUAGUC
rnacentral:rRNA from 1 species